rnacentral:sRNA from 1 species
UCGUCGUCGGCUCGAUGGUGAUUCUGGU